GUUUCGGAAAAUUGCAAAUCAGUCUCUGGCUUAAGGAAGAAGAGGGCCUUUCUGAAACUCCAAGGGACCGAAUUGAAAAAAUGAAAACUUUAUUUGGGGUUUAUUUUUGAAAUUUAUAAUUUAAAGGGUAUUUGGGUCUUCUCAAAUAAAAAAAAAACGAACCCCAGUUGUAUAUUUGACGAGUGGAUCACACGACCAUCUCGUAGGGGC
rnacentral:lncRNA from 1 species